ACACUCCUGCGGGAGGCAGCAGUGGGGAAUAUUGGACAAUGGGCGCAAGCCUGAUCCAGCCAUGCCGCGUGAGUGAUGAAGGCCCUAGGGUUGUAAAGCUCUUUCACCGGUGAAGAUAAUGACGGUAACCGGAGAAGAAGCCCCGGCUAACUUCGUGCCAGCAGCCGCGGUAAUACGACGGGGGCUAGCGUUGUUCGGAUUUACUGGGCGUAAAGCGCACGUAGGCGGACUAUUAAGUCAGGGGUGAAAUCCCGGGGCUCAACCCCGGAACUGCCUUUGAUACUGGUAGUCUUGAGUUCGAGAGAGGUGAGUGGAAUUCCGAGUGUAGAGGUGAAAUUCGUAGAUAUUCGGAGGAACACCAGUGGCGAAGGCGGCUCACUGGCUCGAUACUGACGCUGAGGUGCGAAAGCGUGGGGAGCAAACAGGAUUAGAAACCCCGGUAGUCCCAUG
rnacentral:rRNA from 1 species